UCGUCAUUGCCAUAGUAAUCUUGCUUAGUACGAGUGGAACCGCAGGUUCGGACACUUGCUUCGUGUGCUUGGUCGAGCGAUUAGUGGUGUGAACCUACCAUCCGUGGGAUUACGACUCAACGCCUCCAAGUCAGAAUCCCGUCUAAGCACUGCAAGGAUAUUGUGCGCACUUGCAGCAUUUACAGGUGACAGUAUAGUUAUUCGGGUCGAUUCCUGACUUGACAAUGCCACAUGGGGGCACUGGUCGUUCACUGAGGUCACGGUGCGAGCGACGCUCCCAUGCACUCGUUUUUGGUGUGAACCGCUGCAGUGUUAAAUCGUCUGUAGACGACUUAGGUACCCGUCGUGGUGUCGUAAUUAGUUGAGCAGCCAUUGCAGCACAAACUUUGACUCAUGAGCCUCGAGCGUGCACGUGC
rnacentral:rRNA from 1 species